CCCCUUUGGCAGCAGAGACACUAAAUUUGAAUGACACAGAGGUUAGCAUGGCCCCUGAGCGAGGAUGACAUGCAAAUUCGUGAUGUAUUCCACGUUAAA
ensembl:snRNA U6 U6 spliceosomal RNA